AGAGUUUGAUCCUGGCUCAGAAUGAACGCUGGCGGCGUGCUUAACACAUGCAAGUCGAACGAGAAAGGGAUUGCUUGCAGUCCCGAGUAGAGUGGCGCACGGGUGAGUAACRCGUAGAUAAUCUGCCUUCAAGCCUGGGAUAACUAUUCGAAAGGGUAGCUAAUACCGGAUAAAGYCGAUCUACACAAGUAGAUUGAUGAAAGAUUGCCUCUUCUUGAAAGCAAUUGUUUGGAGAUGAGUUUGCGUACCAUUAGCUUGUUGGUGGGGUAAAGGCCUACCAAGGCAACGAUGGUUAGCUGGUCUGAGAGGAUGAUCAGCCACACUGGAACUGGAACACGGUCCAGACUCCUACGGGUAGGCAUCCYUGAGGCAUAUUUUCGC
rnacentral:rRNA from 1 species